GAUGAACGCUGGCGGCGUGCCUAAUACAUGCAAGUAGAACGCUGAAGGAGGAGCUUGCUCUUCUGGAUGAGUUGCGAACGGGUGAGUAACGCGUAGGUAACCUGCCUGGUAGCGGGGGAUAACUAUUGGAAACGAUAGCUAAUACCGCAUGACAACAGUUAUUGCAUGAUAACUGUUUAAAAGGGGCAACUGCUCCACUACCAGAUGGACCUGCGUUGUAUUAGCUAGUUGGUGAGGUAACGGAUCACCAAGGCGACGAUACAUAGCCGACCUGAGAGGGUGAUCGGCCACACUGGGACUGAGACACGGCCCAGACUCCUACGGGAGGCAGCAGUAGGGAAUCUUCGGCAAUGGACGGAAGUCUGACCGAGCAACGCCGCGUGAGUGAAGAAGGUUUUCGGAUCGUAAAGCUCUGUUGUAAGAGAAGAACGAGUGUGAGAGUGGAAAGUUCACACUGUGACGGUAUCUUACCAGAAAGGGACGGCUAACUACGUG
rnacentral:rRNA from 1 species